rnacentral:lncRNA from 1 species
CGUCUAUGAGCCAAGGGAGCUGGAGUCGACCUGGUUAAAGCAGGGGGCCCCUGUUGCCAGUUUAUUCGAUGUUCAGUCCAAAGACCUGAGGCUCUAUCACUCUUCACCUUGCCUCCUUCAUCCAGAUGUUCAUCAAAAACAGGUGGCAAAGAAGGGGGCACAGUGAUCCUACCCGUACUCAGUCAGCAACAAAGGCUAAGACCCUGACUGGCCCAGCCCUCACUAAUCAACAAAAGCGCUUUACCCCUGUAAGCCUGGGCACACCUCAUGCUCACCGGCACCCUGAGCGGAACAGCCUGUCUCGCAGCACCGUUCUGCUGCCAAGAGAGUUCUCCUUCUGCCUUCUCUGCAUUCGCCACACUUUAAAUACACUUUCGCUUCACACUAUACCAGUUUUGACUGGCCCACUUUCUUCGCUGGAG